rnacentral:sRNA from 1 species
ACUUUUCAUUGCAUGAAUCUUAAGUCACUGUCCAUUUAUACAUUGUUAAAUGAAACAAUUGAUCUUAUAUUCUCUUUGAUUCAAUUUUGCAGAUGAUUCCUUGCACUACAUUAAAUUAUAUCACAAACGGACGUACUGUGCAUCCAUGAAUUCAACUUAAUUCAAAUGAUUGGUGACCAUAGAUGAUAGAACAAACAAAUAUGGUUAGCUGGAUGCUUACUUAUUGAUGUCAUCCAAGAGAAUCUGUCCAUUCAGAAGCAAACAUGGAUAUUGUGCUCAUUCUAUUCACUAUAUAAGUAUAUAUGUUUCUUGUUAUAUUUAGGAUUAGUAUACAAUUUUGGUUAUAAUGAUGGGAGUUUCCAUACACAAGUGAAUAAAUGGUCAAAGAAAAAUGAACGAUGAUGUACUUUGAAUUGGCGUUUGAAUUGGUGAUUAUUGUUCAUGUAUAAACUUGUGUAUUGAAAUGAAACAACCCCGUAAGUCACUAGAUGACCACAUGGACUAGACCGCUUGGACAGUCAUCAAUGGACACUUGUGUCUUUGAUUUACUUUAAAUGUGUUUUAUUGGUCGGUAAAAUUACCAUUUUUUGUAUGAGUUUAGUGUUUGUUUUUACGGUUUCAGAUUUAGUGGAGAAAGAUCAUGGGUUGAGGGUUUGGGUUUAAUUUUAGGGUAAGUAAAUUAGGAUUUAGUGCAAACCGUUAAGGGUAGAGGGUUUACACACUUGUAUGAACCAUUUUUGAAUAUAAUCAUAAGAAUAUCACCAUAUGAAUGAUCCUAUAUUUUACAGCUCUUAGAUUGAAAUGUCUUAGCUGCACAAACAGAUACACGAAAGAUGAGUAACACCAAAUCUAAACAUUGUUCACCAAAAUCAAAUACAAGAACACUUCAUUAGUUGGAGAACAUAUAUUCAAAGAGUAAUGGACGGAUUCCUAUAGCUGACAGUCCGCAAGUACGUGUUCAUAUAUGAUAUUAAGAAGUAGAGAUGUAUUCAUGUAAAGGAGAAGGCACUUUAUUAUAUACCAAAUCAAACAAAAUCCCUAGACCCGGUUAAUCAAUUGAUGGUUUAAUGUGGGAAGGAUAGAAUUGUCCUUUUAUCCUCCAAAAACAAGAGAAUAUUACACGUAAAGGCACUAUUUUGAAACUUUGGCCACAAAUAGGCACUUUAAAGGCAUUAGUCACUUUAACUCAGUAGAAUUACCCUUUUACCCUGAAAUCGUUGGUUUAACAAAACCUAACAAAUUUAGCCGGUUUUCGGUUUAAUUUUUUAAUCUCAAUCUCUAAACUAAAACCAAUUUGUGAGAAACUUCUCUUUCUCACCCAAUCCUUCACGACGAUUUUACAGUUUCAUUUAUCAGGGCAGUUAAAAUCAUCACAACGCCGAUAACAUCAUCUCGACUCCGGCGAUCAUCCCGACGAGUUUUCUACCGGCAAAGUCAUUUCCUCGUCCCUCUCCCGUCGUUAUCGUCAACAAAGCUUUCAAUCGGCUGACAUUAAUUCGUCCUCUCCUGUCGUCGUCGUCAACAGUUGUUCUCCCGUCAUCGUCUUCAUUUUCUUGUCUCUCAAUCGAUUCGUCGUCUCCGGCGUGUGCUAGUAACUUCUACUCGGUUCUCAAAUGUAAGGUAUUAAUCUUCUCCAAUCAUUUUAUUUGCUCCAAUUAUUCAAUCGUGUGCUAAUUUUAUUUAUAAUAUCCAACAUUGUGAAGAGCUAAUAAGGGAAGACAUGAAUGCUACGUUAGGUGAUAUUUCAAAAAUGUUAAUCACAAGACCUUAUCUUCUUACCACAGACUUCGGCUUGCUUAUCUCCUCAUUGUUGACGGUGUCCUCAUAUCCUGAAACCAACCUAUUACGUCUACAUUAAAAUAUGUAGAGAUGUUGGCAGAUUUGGAGAAGUUCCUUAACUGACUGAGGUCUACGUAACUGACUGUCUAUACACAUGUGGAUAAAUGGUCAAAGAAACAUGGAUAAUAUACUUUGGAUUGACGUUUAUUGUUCAUAUAUAAACUUAUGUAUUAGUAUGAAACUAUCAUGUGAGUCUUUAGAUGAUCAUGGACUGGACUGCUUGGACAAUCAUUAAUGGACAAGUAUGUCUUUGAUUUGCUGCGAAUGUGUUUAUAGCUCGAUAAAAUUGUAUCAACAUGUCUAUAUACAU